GAUGAAGAACGCAGCAAAAUGCGAUAAGUAAUGCGAAUUGCAGAAUUCAGUGAGUCAUCGAAUCUUUGAACGCACAUUGCGCCCUGUGGUAUUCCGCAGGGCAUGCCUGUUCGAGCGUCAUUUCAACCCUCAAGCCCCGCUUGGUGUUGGGCCCCGCCCGCUGUGGCCGGCCCUAAAGACAGUGGCGGCGCCGCCUGGCCCUCAGCGUAGUACAUCUCUCGCUCCAGGGUCCGGUGGCCGCCUGCCAGAACCCCCCAACACUGUGGUUGACCUCGGAUCAGGUAGGGAUACCCGCUGAACUUAAGCAUAUCAAUAAGCGGAGGA
rnacentral:misc_RNA from 1 species